GUGGGGAAUAUUGGACAAUGGGCGAAAGCCUGAUCCAGCCAUGCCGCGUGUGUGAAGAAGGUCUUCGGAUUGUAAAGCACUUUAAGUUGGGAGGAAGGGCAGUAAGUUAAUACCUUGCUGUUUUGACGUUACCGACAGAAUAAGCACCGGCUAACUUCGUGCCAGCAGCCGCGGUAAUACGAAGGGUGCAAGCGUUAAUCGGAAUUACUGGGCGUAAAGCGCGCGAAGGUGGUUUUGUAAGUUGGAGGUGAAAUCCCCGGGCUCAACCUGGGAACUGCCUCCAAAACUGCAUGACUAGAGUACGGUAGAGGGUAGUGGAAUUUCCUGUGUAGCGGUGAAAUGCGUAGAUAUAGGAAGGAACACCAGUGGCGAAGGCGACUACCUGGACUGAUACUGACACUGAGGUGCGAAAGCGUGGGGAGCAAACAGGAAUAGAAACCCUGGUAGUCC
rnacentral:rRNA from 1 species